CAGUGUUUUACUUUACUUUACUUUACGUUACUUUGUCAUUCUUACCCUGCCACACAUCUGUUCCCCCAAACGCACCCAGCUUGGUCUUAAGCACGAUUAGUUAGGCAUGUAGUAAUAAACUACUGCCCUGCCACAAUUAUAACACACAAGCAUUGCUUCUCCUGACAUAUAACUGUUAUAAUCCUCUCGAUGUUUUGCUUAUGGUUAUCUACUUUAUUAUAAAUACGCUACUCUUGUUAGUAAUCCUAUUGAAUGCUUAAAU